rnacentral:rRNA from 1 species
UGGGGAAUAUUGCGCAAUGGGGGAAACCCUGACGCAGCAACGCCGCGUGAGUGAGGAAGGAUUUCGGUCUGUAAAGCUCUGUUAAUGUGGAAAAAUGGUAACUGGUCUAAUAGGCCGGUUAUUUGAUGGUACACAUAGAGGAAGCACCGGCUAACUUCGUGCCAGCAGCCGCGGUAAUACGAAGGGUGCAAGCGUUGUUCGGAUUUAUUGGGCGUAAAGCGCGCGUAGGCGGACCUGUAAGUCAGAUGUGAAAUCUCGGGGCUCAACCCCGAAACUGCGUCUGAAACUACAGGUCUAGAAUCUCGGAGGGGAAAGGGGUAUUUCACAUGUAGGGGUAAAAUCCGUAGAUAUGUGAAGGAACACCAGAGGCGAAGGCGCCUUUCUGGACGAGUAUUGACGCUGAGGCGCGAAAGCGUGGGGAUCAAACA